UGGCGCCCAGUGUGGGGUACCUGGCACGAAGGGGUCAACGAGGGAGCUGUCCGGAGACUCGCGCAUAAGAAGGGAACUAAGAGUUUUGUGACCAACGCUACGCGGGGGCCUGCCACGCUGCUGGAGUCACAGUAAGUGGACGGCAAUACUUUCCCUAUUUUUCCGGCAUGGGUCAGGCAUUAAGUGAUCAUAAACACUUUGUGUCAGGUUUAAGUAAAGCUUUAAAGACAAGAGGGAUAAAGGCUAAAAAUACAAAAUUUAUUGCAAUACUUUCAAUUUAUUCAUGAGGUUUGCCCUU
rfam:Cavia porcellus supercont2_31 genomic scaffold, whole genome shotgun sequence.